CACACGGACGGGAUGCUCCUCUCGCGGUGAACUGAGCGCGACUCUAAUCUAUACGGCACAGACGGGAGCUGCCAAAACGCACGGGGCGCUUUACAUGUCCUGGGAGGACAUACACUCACACACACACCUCUUGAAGUAGCAUUCGUGUGAUAGGUCAUAACGAAACUCGAAUCGCAACCAUGGUAGACGCGACGAUGAUUCUGCCCGCUAUCUUUUUCACAAUUGUUGCCGUUCUCAUCGCGUCGGUUUUGUUCAAGAAACCCGAAAAAGAGAAGCCCAAGAAGAAGAGACCCCAUGAAGAAGCUCCCGAACGCGCCCCAGAGACCCACCACGCGAGCUCGUCCGAACCACUGGAGAUUCCCGUUCUGGUCAACCACCCGAUUUUUGGGACCACCGUAACCGCAGAAGCCAAGAAAGAAGAAGUCGUCGUGAAGGAAGAGAAGGUUGAGCCUGUGGCCGCCGCUCCCCCUGUAGUGGAAGAGGUCGGAGUGGUUGAGGAGCCCGCUGUUGUCGAGGCGACGGUCGAAGCCGCACAGGCUGCACCAGAGCCCCCAGCACCAGAGCCAGUACCGGAGCCCGAGCCCGUUGUAGAGGCAGCCCCUGAGCCCGUCCCAGAACCCGAGCCUGUGAUUCCAGAGCCAGAGCCAGCACCAGUGGUAGAGGCCGCACCAGAACCAGAACCAGAGCCUGUAGUGGAACCCGUGGUGGAACCCGAGCCAGAACCCGUUGUAGAGGCUGUGCCAGAACCCGUGGCAGAACAUGUGGAGGAACCAAUUCCCGCAGAACCCACACCAGAGCCAGAACCAGAGCCCGUUGUAGAGGCCCCAGCCCCAGUGGAGGAGGCCGCCCCAUCAGAACCGGCCCCCGAGCCCGUCGCAGAACCCACUCCCGAGCCAGAACACAACGAUGUAGCCGCUGGGCCUGUUGAGGAUGAUGAGGAGCUCCCUAAGAUUGUUCCCGGUAAGAAAAGGAGCAAGUUUGAGAAGCGGUUGUCCAAGGAGGAGAUGGAGGAGGAACAAAGGAUAGAGUUCACCAACGAUUUUACCUCCCUCUAGCCCCGCCCUCUCAGCAGCGGCCACGCCCCCUUCACCGCUGCCUGUAGAGUGCUCACUUAGACCGGGCUCUGAGCAGCUGAGUGAGCAGUGAACUUCAUGAGACCCUGAGCGUCGGCCUGUCCAUCUCUCCACCUCCAUCCCUCGCUCCACCCCCCCAUCUCUCCAUCCCUCUCUCCAUCGCUCCACCUCUCCAUCUCUCCAUCCCUCUCUCCAUCUCUCCGUCAGUGUGCCUCCCCGAUCCCUUCAUCACCCGCCCACCCCACCACUCCUUCCCUGGCAGCAGCGAGCGUGUGUGUGUGUGUGUGUGUGUGUGUGUGUGUGUUAUGCCUGACUCCCUCCUCUCCCUCCCUGGCGGUGGUGGUGGUGGUGACGGCGUGGACAGGAAGCUCAUGACGGCUGCUGUGUGUUAGUGUGCUGCCUGUGAAUAGCAAAGCUUUACCCUGAACACUCAGAGCCCACAGAGUGUGUGAGUGAGAGUGUGUGUAUGUGUGUGUGUGAGAGAGAGUGUAUGAUGUUCUACAUGUAAGAUUUUCUCACAAUAUAAAGUUCAUCUGAGAGAGAUGGCCCUUUCUGACAAGGUGAUUUAAACAGAAUUUGGUUACAGUGUACACACACACACACACACACACACACACACACACACACACACACACACACACACACUCUCACAUAUACUCACUCAUACACACACUCUCACACACUCACACUCACACACACUCACACAUUCAAAACUACCCAAAGUUUGGGAUGUCUGUUGUCGACUGGUCACUAUUAAUUUGGGUGAGGAUAGCAGCUCACAGUUAAGAUCUCUCUCUCUUUCUCUUUCUCUCUCUCUUUUUCUCCCUCUCUCUCUCUUUCUCUCUUCCUCUUUCUUUCUUUUUGUUGUUUUCUUGUGGAAUGUUUCAUUUUAUAUUUUGUUUUCCGUGUUAAAUGAAGACAUGAUUGUAGCUGUAGAGGUGGCCUGAGUGCCACUGCAUGUGUGCUAUGGUCAGCCGCUCUCAGACCUCCAAAGAUACGGUCACUAAGCGACCAGCGGUUGCCAAGGGAACGUUGGCUGUAUGGUCACCCACCCUUAGUUUACUUGAGAUGCGUCCACCAUCGCCAUGGUGAUCUUACUAACCCAUCGUAACUUAGGAGGCCUCCGCAAACUUCAUGCCCUCAUUGGACGUGUGCAAUUUGGUGGGUCGGACGAAGGAUCAGGAUGCAACAAUCUGGCUCUGAUCUGGCUCUGAUCUGGCCCUGAUGUGGCCCUGAUCUGGCCCUGAUGUGGCCCUGAUUUGGCUGUCUGUGAAGGGCACCUUAUGUAGAUUUACGAGAUAGAACAUAGUAGUAUUUAACUCUGUGCACACACACACACACACACACACACACACACACACACACACACACACACACACACACACACACACACACACACACACACACAAAUACACACAUGCACACUUAACACACAGUAUAUACUCACUACUUCUCAAAUACACAUGUUCUCAAAUCCACAUGUUCACAAACUAACACACUCAAAUGUUCUCGCUCUCUGUACACACUACAUGUGUCAUUUAUGGGGUACUGAACAUCCAUAAACUGCUCAUCUCUUGUGUACACACACACACACACACACACACACACACACACCUUGUACAGAGUUUAAUGACCUACAUGUAUGAUAAUAUUUCUGUUUGUAGAGUUUGAGAUGUGUUGAGCUCUGAGGAUAAUUGGCUUUUUUGGAACCUGUUGGAAUUAAAAGCCAGUGUAUGAACUUGA